rnacentral:rRNA from 1 species
AGCAGCCGCGGUAAUUCCAGCUCCAAUAGCGUAUAUUAAAGUUGUUGCAGUUAAAAAGCUCGUAGUUGAAUUUCGGGAUCAGUUGGUCGGUCGUGCCUCGGUACGUACUGGUCAAAUUGGUUCCUACCUUCUGACGAACCACGAUGUCAUUAAUUUGGUGUCGCGGGAAAUCAGGACUGUUACUUUGAAAAAAUUAGAGUGUUUAAAGCAGGCUCGCGCUUGAAUACAUUAGCAUGGAAUAAUGAAAUAGGACGUUUGAUUCUAUUUUGUUGGUUUCUAGGAUCGACGUAAUGAUUAAUAGGGAUAGUUGGGGGCAUUAGUAUUCAAUUGUCAGAGGUGAAAUUCUUGGAUUUAUUGAAGACUAACUACUGCGAAAGCAUUUGCCAAGGAUGUUUUCAUUAAUCAAGAACGAAAGUUAGGGGAUCGAAGACGAUCAGAUACCGUCGUAGUCUUAACCAUAAACUAUGCCGACUAGGGAUCGGAUGAUGUUAAUUUUUUAAUGACUCAUUCGGCGCCUUAC